rnacentral:lncRNA from 1 species
CGGGGCGGGAGGGGAGGAGAGCCCCGCCCGCCCCGCACAAAGGCGCCCGGCCCCUCCGAAACUUUGCGCCCCGGGAGCUCAGGCCCGGCCAGCCCGUGACAGCGGUGACCCACGCCCCCGCCGCACCGGCCCAGAUCGGGCGCCUCGCCUCGGGCGCCCACGCGGAGCAGCGGCUCCCCCUUAGCAGGCGGCCGGGCCGAGCCCACUCCCCGCGCCGGAGCAGCGAGCGGCACGGCAGGUCCGAUCCUGCGUACUUCCCAGCAGUGAGUGAUGAUGAGCCCAUAGGCAAAAGGGACAGCUGUGAGAAGGAAAAUCCAACCGUGCCCAGAGGUCGAGGCGCCCGGCGCGAUCUCCCACACUCCACCACCCCGCGCACCCCGGGACUCCGGCGCUCGGCUCGCCCUUCUGCCCGACGCCCUUCCCUGUGUAGCCACCUGCACUUCUGCACACAGGUGACCAACGCGAGGAGCUCUUCUCCGGGCACGUCUUCCCUGACGCUACCUUUCUUCGCAGCGUUUGUCAGCAAGACAGCAUUCCUGCCUGAGGUGCGAGUUCCGCCCCGGGAGGGAAGCCCCGGCCUCCUGUUCCCCGCGCCGCGCAGCUCCGUGUGCUGCAGCCUGGUGCGUGGCUCCGGAUCACAGCGGGACGACGGGCCCGACACCAGGUGUUCUCCACUGCUUCCAGGUUCACACUUAGAGCAAGGCUCUGAAACAGUGCUGGUGAACCCAUGGCACACGUGCGCAGUAGGCUGUUUGAUAUUACUGAAAGCUCUAAAAGGUUUUCCAGCGCUGCUCUAAAACCAACGCUGCCCCUGCCCUGCUGAAAUACAGACUCCUCCAUCCACCAGCUGUGUGCCUGGGCCUCAGUUUCUUCAUCUGUAGAAGAGAAGUGAUUGUGGCAUCCAUCCCCUGUAAUUGCUGCCGAGGUCAUGUGAAGCCUGACAAAGAGAAUAUUACCAGGCAUGGAUGCUGUCAUGAUAUCAGACUGCUACAAUAACUGUUUUAAAAUGCUGAGGAAGAAGACAUUUUCAGGACUCUCUGGUGAGCUUUCUCUUGGAAGAAAGGAGUGGAUGCCCAGAGCAAGCAGGAUAUGGAAGAUGGAAGAUGGAAGAUGGAAGAUUCUGGAAGAUGCAGGUUAACAGCUGGAAGAAACAUUUGGAAAAGAGUCUGCAAUGGGAGAGCUGUAUAUUGUAGAAAACUUAUCACUGUGCCAUCAGAUAAAGCAAAUCUCUUUAAAAAUCAUUUUUACUAUAGCUAUUAAAAUCUAACAUCUAUUACAAUUUCUAUCAGACAGGUAUCUGCGGUUAUCAGGAUAUUGUGUUCCUCUGAGGUGGAGUAUGGCCAUCGUCACAUGGAAGUGGUCUUUAUUUCAGAGUAAAAAUAACUGGUUUUCAGUUCUCUGAGGUUCUCAAUACGUAGAGGGCAGGGAAACCAAAUUAUUCUUCAUUGAUCCCAUGUUAACUAGCACAUAAGCCCAAUAAUGGGGAGAAAUGUGGAAAAUUUUCUUUUUAUGAGAGACAUGCCUAUAGUGGAGAUCCAUUUUUAGAGUAAAAAUUAAAUUAUUAUAUGCAAGGAAACAAAAAAAGAGUGAAUGAUGUAUUAUUUAGAAUUUUAGCUUGAAGAGCAAUUUGGAUAAAAGGGACAACAGACACAAUAGGGGAGGAAAGAUAGUAGGGAACUGUUUCUUUAGGAAAAAUAACAGAGAAGAAAUUCAAAACAGGUCGUUUGGAUUCAUGCCCUUACGUUCAGUUCACAGGCACACUUAAUAAAUAAAUGCAAACUGUUAUAAUUAACAUGACAAAAGAAGAUGUUUCUAAUGAUGCUAUAAUUAUUAGAAGAAACUCCUUGUUUAACGAUUCAUUCCUCUCAUAGGAGAGAUCGGGUGUAUGUAAAUUUUCCAAAGUAAGCUAUUCAGCCCUCUCAUAUCUGUGUCUCACCCGUAUCUUACAAUAAUAAAUAUAUAGUUCAUAUUUACUGGAGACAUUAGGCCCAUGAAGCAGAGAGGGACAAGUAGCCCUUGAAAGAAAACAAAAGGACAAAGAAGUUCAUGCUAGUUAUAUGAUCACUACUAAGCAUAUCAUUGUCGCAGGUCAUAUGUUCUACAAGUUGCCACGGAAGUGUUCAGUCUUCUUUCUACUCUUUCAGAACCUUACCAUCCUCUCACCAGAGAACUGGAGUUUAUCUCCCUUCCCCUUGUAACUGAAGGCUGUGUGUAGGGUUGCAACGCAUAGAAUGCAGCAGAAGAGAUUGAGUGACCUCGGAGACUCAGUUAUAAAAGAUCACAUGGCUGUCACCCAGCUCUUUCUCCUGGAUGGUCACCAUUGCUCCCAGCCUCCAUGUUGUGAGGAAGCCCAGCUCACAGUGAGGUUGCAUGUCAACAGUCCCGGCUAUGGUGUUACACAGAGAUAAAGAACUAGAAAAGCUAAUUUGGCCAAGCAGGAGAGAAAUGACAUCUCCCAAUAUGGACUACAACUGUAGAACAGUUGAGAAUAGCAGUGUGUAGAGCACAAGGAGUUUAUUUUAGGUAAGCUGUUGUUUCAGCACAAUACUUACAUCACAGUGGGGACAUAGCACAACUUCAUUUAAUUACAUGGAAACCACAUACUGAUGAAACCAGGUAUCUCGACUUUCUGUGUUUCACUCCAACAAGAAGAUUAAAGAGUCAGUACAAGUAAAGGGGACCUCUGUUACCUAAUCUCUCACAAAUUCUUUCUCCUGUGCUUUCGGUGAUAGCACGCUAUCAUUAUUUCUCUGCAGUUAACGAACUACUAUAUCAUGUGCUUGAUUGAGCUGCCGCUGAGGUUCUUUAGCUGCUUGUUGCAUGGGAAAGGUAAGGAUUGUGUCUGGCUGAGAACAGGAUGCGUCUUCCCCAGAGUGGCAGAGUUAGCACAAGAAUGGAGAAGUCAAGCAAGGGGAGCCAAGCAGCAUCUUCCCAGAGAUGGAUAAAGAGGGGUGCACCUCUUGCUCUACUUAUUCUUUAGCUGUAAGGACACCAGCAGCCAGUUCCUCCUGGAAAAAGUCUGGACUCAUAGAGCCAGGCCAUGGAAUGAGAGGCUCCAUCCAGAGCGAUGGCCCACAAGACCCCAUGGCCAGUCGUGCCCCAUGCUACUUGUGUCCCCUGUUUUCUAGCUAGGGAUCCAAAAACUGCCUUUUUUGGCUACUUGUCAGCAAUAAGCCCUAAAUGGUAUUUAUGGAAACCGUUCAGCCAAUAUGAAUCAUUUUGAGACAUGCACAUAACAGGAACACAAACGCAUGGUUAUCACAAUGUUCUCUUGAGAGGCAAAACGCUCAGGAAAAUACAGCGGGAAAUUAGGCAACUCAGAUCAAAUCACAGCAACUGUUCCAGAACAGCACCUAAAAAGGGAGAUAACUCAGAAACAUUAGAAAAUUCUAAAUGAAAGGAAUUCUAACAUAAAAUCACAAACACAAAGAACCUCAGUAUUACACAAAAGACCUAAAAAGAAAAAAGACAGGAAGGAAGGAAUGAAAGGAAGUGAAAGAAAAGAAAAGAAAGUCAUUUCUAUUCCUUGAUAAUAAACUUGUUGCCAUCUGUUUCACAGUAACACGAUGGUUUCAUUUCCUCCAAAUGAAGCAAAUAUUGGAUAUCAAAAAUUGAGUUGCAAAAAUAAUUGUUUUAAAGGAAAUAAAAGAGGUUAGGCCCUAAACAGUGAUGGAUGGCCCAAAGUAACAUUUUUUUUCCUUGCAGAUAUUUUAAUGAUAAAUGGAUUCUCUAGUCAGAAGUACAUUUUGUACUAAAAGAGGGAAUAAGAGGAAUUUACCCAGAAAGUUGUAUGAACAGCCACGGGUUGUCUUGGGCUAUUGUAAUUCAAGAGUUUGUGAGAAUUCAAAAGGUGCCAAGGCUGAUGCAAAUCAUACCAAAGUUAUAGGAAUGGCCUUUUUAUUUGCAUCCCGAGCAAGGACAGUAAAAAAGGGACCAGUCCAUUUCACGGAUCAGAACGUAGAAAACUAAGUGGUGUGAAGUGGGUGCGGUUCUAGUUCGCUGGCAUCUUCUAUCAACGAGAAUGACUUCCACCCUGGGAAAGGUGGAAUAGAUAGGGCUGUCGGAGUGGAAACCUGAGGUGGAUUGGUAGGUAGUAGAGUGCCAAGGUGCUGAGGAGAGAAGCUCUUGCCUCUGAGUCCAGAGCCUGGUGCCCUGUGUCAUCACCUCUGUGGUCCCCAGCUCAGGGGAAACCGGCAGCACUGGCCAAGGAGGGGCCGGGCAGCUCAGGGAUGCAGUGGGUGCUGCAUAUGUGGAGGGCCUGGGUUUGAGUCUAAGCAACCCCUCCCCAAGAAAGGUCAUUAAAAGUCACUCAAAUUUGUUUUAAAGUAGUAAACUUAGAUGCUAGGAAACUAGACUUUUAUGUAUUUAAAAAUUGUAGGACUUAGUAUUAAAUUAGUUUAACAAACAUUUAGUCAAAAGCCAAACCAAAAGUAAACAAUGAUUGCUAGACGCAGAAGUGCACACCUAAAUUCCCAUCACUUUAGAAGGCUGAGGCAGGAGGAUUUUAAAUUCAAUUCCUACCUGGGCCACCUCCUGAUACUACGUCUCAAAAAAUAAAAUAAAACACUAAAAUGAAAGAAGGCUAUGGAUGUGAACGCCCUGCGUUCAAUUCCCAUUACAAGAAAACAAAAACAAAAACAACAAGAAUAACAAAAGACAAAAAUAGAAAACAAACCACCGAUGAUCCUGUAGAGAUAGCAGAGGUUCAUCAACAAUACACUAUGAACCCUAGAGCACUUUGUUUUCACAAAAUAUUGUAGCAAAGGAACAACAAUAUAGAGCCGUUCUUACGGGUUUCAUUGUUACAGUGUACGCAAAUACACCAGCCCGAUUACCCUACAGGUGGCAACACACAAAGUCGUUCAUGUAAACAGGCCUGAAACUACGAAAAGCCGUGCAGAUGGAUGAGGUAGUAGAAUAUAAUGAAGACAAAAUAGACUCUGGAGCUAAAUGGCCUGGUUUUGCUAGCUCCCGUCUGACUUGGGGGCCAACCACCUAACUUCCCGCACCUUUAGAUGGAGAGUAGUAGCGCUGUUGGUGACUAAAUGUAAAGAACUUGGAUCAGGUCUGGCACAAAGUCAGAACAGCUAGCACUAAAGGGAUGCUAACUUUUUGUCACUGUCAUUAUUUCUCAAAUUAGAACAAAGUGGGAAAACAAACUAGGGAACCAUGAAUAUGCAUAUUUGUUCAGACCGACAAAACAGAAACAAGUAAGUAUACCAAUUAUUAAGCUGAUAUCAGGAUCAUUUACUCUUUUUCUUCUUUUUCAAUUGUUAUUUUUAUUAGCACAUAUUUGCAGUACACAUUGAUCAACGCCUUGCGGGGAGCUGGCCCAGGUACCUAACACAUCCGCAUUCAUUUUUCAUCCUCUUCUCUCCCCUUCCUCCAUGUCUUGGUCUCCUUCCCAUUUGCAAAAGAUCUAUCUCCCUAUUUUCCAUUAUCUGUCUUUUAUUUGCCUCUUUAUUUAUACCUAAGGCUUCUCAUAUAAGAGAAACCCUUAAUAUUUAAGCUUGUGUGUCUGAUUUUACUUGACAUGACGGUCCCCACGCGCAUGCAUUUUCUACAAGUGACUCAUGUUUCUCAAAUGAAUGUUACCUGAAAACCUAAUGUGUGCCAUCCCCAGAGAAAGCAUGAGAGACACAGGGAUGGAGACAGCAAGUCUUUGAAGGCUCUAGCACUGGGACAAGCAGGAACUGCUCCUUUCCAGGUUUGGAGCACUGGCCUCUGCACUACAUACAGCAUGCUUUGAGAGGCUUGGAUGGAACACAGGCUUUGAUAUAGCAUGGUUUCUCUUAUAUGAGAAACUCAAAAUAUAAAUAUAUGAAAGAGAAGAAUAAAAGGUGGAUGAUAGAAACAGGGAGAUAGAUCUUUUGCAAAUGGGAGGAAGACCAAGAGAUGGUGCAGGGGGAGAAAGUGGAAGGGGAAGCAAUGAAGAUGUGUGUGUACAUCACUGACUCCUCACAAGGGAUGUAACCAUUAUGUACCGCAAACAUGAGCAGUAAAGAGAAUAAAAAACUCAUUGCAAGAGUGGAAUCGAAAUGUGCAUGGUAGUAAAUCAGAAAAGAAAAAUAUUUGGACAAAAGGAGCCAAAGGUCUAACCAAAAGAAGAUAAACUUUUAGUGAGGAUAAAGCCAAAUAGUGUUUUUAUUUGCAAGUGUAAUUUUAUUUUAAAAUAAUGUAUAUUGAUAUAGAUGGAUUAGAAAUUGAAAAUUUCACCUUUAAUCCUAACAUAUCUAUAGUCUUUAUACCAUUUGUAUAAAUAUGAAUACCUUCAUAAUUAUAUGCGUAUUUUAUGUACAAAAGGAUAUGAAAAGUGAAUCUAUUUAACUUAACACUGAAUUAUGAUGCUAUUCUAUUCUGUAGCACACUUAGUUCCUGUGAAAAUGUGUAUGUAUCACAUCAUGAGAUAUCUCUGGAUAUGAAGUGCAGUGGUACGUAACACAAAUUCUUUACAAUCCCAGAGCAGCUUCUGAUUGUUUGGGGCUGACUUCCUUUUCCCUUUCUUCCUGGGCACACAGCAAGACUACAUUUUUUGCUUCCCUUGCAGCUAGGAACAAUUUGGUGACUAAGUUACAGCCAAGAGGAAAUGAACAAAAGAGAUGGGAGAGUCCUGAUGCGAUUUUCCAUGCUCUUUACUUUUCCACCAGGGAGUAACUUUGAAAGUUGCAAGUUAAAGAUGAUACAGCUAUAAUUAGGAAAGACCAGACUUGCACCAUAGUUAGAGAAGAGGUGUCACAGGACUCAGAGAUAAACAGUUUCCCUUUUCCACCCGUCAUUUUUUGGUUUACUUGUUACUGCAACUAGCACUAGUUCAAAAAAACCCAGAUACUGAAAACUUUAAAUUGUGCCCACUUGAUAGCUGCUGUCUAGUAUCUCUUCAGUUGGAAUGUCUUUGAGGGUCAGCUUUGACAUGAUAAAAGACAGAAGAGAUUUGGCUGACUGAUAGUGGGACAUGAACCUAUCGCUGGAUUGACUUGGAGUGGGCUGGGAGAUGAUGCUCAGGACGGGGCAGCAAGUCAUCCUGCAGUCAGACCAGCUGGGACUGCACAUCCAGAUCACAGGCCUCAGGAAGGACAGCUGGCCACUGCAGCUCAGUGGAGAGGACGGGACCUUGUCCUGGGCUACGGACACCAUGGGGACUGAGGGCUGCACAGCAAGAACGGUACACGCCUCUCUUGAGAGGGUUACACUAGUCACGAACUCAACACGAAGCACAGCUAGGCUACCUUCAUAGCAGGCAGUAUAACUCCAAACUGAAGAGAAGAGAAACCACGCCUUAUGGAACGGAUUGUAUCACCUUGUAAAUAUUUUCAGUUGGCGUCUUUCGCCACAUGAAACAAACAGGAAGUUCCAUGCAAACACUCAUGAGCACACCCCGUCAUACCUGCUAUAGCGUCUAUUGGAAGAAACUGACUUCUCAAGGAUAAAGCUAAUAAUGAAAGGUAACAUUCAUGAAGUGCUUAGAUUGUACUACAUCCCAUUCUAAUUGCUUUUUUGUUUUAGAGUCAAUAUUUAUUCUAUUCUCUUUAAAACUUUUAUUUCUUAUCAGUAUAUGUUUGCAGCCCAUAAAGAUUACACUCAUCAUGGAGAGUUGGUGCGUGCAUGUAACACAUCUCAGUUCUUUUUCUGUUCUGUCUCACCCCCACCAUCACUAUUUACAAAAGACCUAUCUCCUUGUUUCCUGUUUUUGGU